AUUGAACGCUGGCGGCAUGCCUUACACAUGCAAGUCGAACGGCAGCACGGGAGCAAUCCUGGUGGCGAGUGGCGAACGGGUGAGUAAUGUAUCGGAACGUACCUUUCAGUGGGGGAUAACGUAGCGAAAGUUACGCUAAUACCGCAUAUUCUGUGAGCAGGAAAGCAGGGGAUCGCAAGACCUUGCGCUGAUUGAGCGGCCGAUAUCAGAUUAGCUAGUUGGUGAGGUAAAGGCUCACCAAGGCGACGAUCUGUAGCGGGUCUGAGAGGAUGAUCCGCCACACUGGAACUGAGACACGGUCCAGACUCCUACGGGAGGCAGCAGUGGGGAAUUUUGGACAAUGGGCGCAAGCCUGAUCCAGCCAUGCCGCGUGAGUGAAGUAGGCCUCGG
rnacentral:rRNA from 1 species